rnacentral:rRNA from 1 species
CAUGGUUGUCGUCAGCUCGUGUCGUGAGAUGUGGUUAAGUCCGCAACGAGCGCAACCCCUAUUGUUAGUUGCCAUCAUUCAGUUGGGCACUCUAGCGAGACUGCCGGUAAUAAACCGGAGGAAGGUGGGGAUGACGUCAAAUCAUCAUGCCCCUUAUGACCUGGGCUACACACGUGCUACAAUGGUUGGUACAACGAGUUGCGAGUCGGUGACGGCGAGCUAAUCUCUUAAAGCCAAUCUCAGUUCGGAUUGUAGGCUGCAACUCGCCUACAUGAAGUCGGAAUCGCUAGUAAUCGCGGAUCAGCACGCCGCGGUGAAUACGUUCCCGGGCCUU